GGAGUAUACAAAGUGUAAAAUGUACUCCAGAGCUGCAGAUACACAUGACAUCAUACCUUUCACAUUUGAAAAAUAUUUUCUAGAGUAUCCUGCCCACACUGCAACAGAACAACCGAGACUAAUGAAGAAUGAAGAAACUCUUGACGUCCACCCUAGUAAAAGAAAAAAAGUUUUGGAUGGCAGCCAGAAAAAUACGUAGGCUAUAGCGAGAACAUGUGAGAUCUGGAGAGGGACGGACUGUACUGCAAAGGAGGAACUCAAAGAAAACAACAGAAAACAAGUGUGGGUAAAGAGCAUGUUGUCAUGUUCCUACAAGUGACUGCCUGACGCAGUUAAGAAAACAGCUGUGAGGACAUUCUGGAGGGGUGGACCAAGUGAUGAGCUGCAAUUCUAUGAAGAGGCUUCUUCAGAAUUAUGAGUAUCAAGGAUGCCAUGUGGAUCAACAAUAUGCCCUUGCUGUGGAUGUCUGUAGUCACCCCAGGUACUAACAACAGACUGCACAGCAUUGUCAAAAAAAAUAGUAUUGCCAAGGCUUAGUGGUAUUGUUAGGAAAUGUGUGACUAUAAUCGAUCUUUUCACAAAAACAAAAAGCAGUCCAUCCAAGUAAUAUAAUCAAUAUUUUAUUUAAAGGUUUAAUCAAUGAUAAUCCAAUAACAUGUCAUCAUAUCAAUACUCAGUAUGAAGUGUCAUCAUGAUUUAAUAAAAAAUUGUACUCAAGUAAGAUAUAUUAUAGUUAUUAUAUACUGUAGUUAUAUAUGAUGUUCUAUAGUCAGAUUUAUUAUAGUAUUAAAGAGUUUGCAAUAAUGUUUCACCUUCACAUACUUAAUCACUGAUAAUACAGAACAUUUAGAGCCUGGUCCUGAUGAAAAACACAGUGAAAUAAUUGACAAAAUAAAAUGUUUAGGUUGUGCAAGUUAAAAUCAAGACUACAAGACUAGUUUUCUGAACAGUUCUCAGAAGUGAACACAUUUAUAUUUCAUGAUGG